UACGUAGGGUGCAAGCGUUAUCCGGAUUCACUGGGUUUAAAGGGUGCGUAGGAGGGCAGGUAAGUCAGUGGUGAAAUCUCCAAGCUUAACUUGGAAACUGCCGUUGAUACUAUCUGUCUUGAAUAUUGUGGAGGUGAGCGGAAUAUGUCAUGUAGCGGUGAAAUGCUUAGAUAUGACAUAGAACACCAAUUGCGAAGGCAGCUCACUACUCAAUCAUUGACUCUGAGGCACGAAAGCGUGGGGAUCAAACAGG
rnacentral:rRNA from 1 species